GACGAACGCUGGCGGCGUGCUUAACACAUGCAAGUCGAACGGAAAGGCCCUGCUUUUGUGGGGUGCUCGAGUGGCGAACGGGUGAGUAACACGUGAGUAACCUGCCCUUGACUUUGGGAUAACUUCAGGAAACUGGGGCUAAUACCGGAUAGGAGCUCCUGCUGCAUGGUGGGGGUUGGAAAGUUUCGGCGGUUGGGGAUGGACUCGCGGCUUAUCAGCUUGUUGGUGGGGUAGUGGCUCACCAAGGCUUUGACGGGUAGCCGGCCUGAGAGGGUGACCGGCCACAUUGGGACUGAGAUACGGCCCAGACUCCUACGGGAGGCUGCAGUGGGGAAUAUUGCACAAUGGGCGGAAGCCUGAUGCAGCAACGCCGCGUGCGGGAUGACGGCCUUCGGGUUGUAAACCGCUUUCGCCUGUGACGAAGCGUGAGUGACGGUAAUGGGUAAAGAAGCACCGGCUAACUACGUG
rnacentral:rRNA from 1 species